GCACGGCUAGCUCCGUUGAUACGGCGUGAGGCUCUUGAUCGCUGGGUCGUGGGUUCGAGACCCGCGUCGGGCA